UAUUAAUAUAUCGAAUGUUAAUAUGUUAAUACCAUGUAUAUGGAUGUAAAACAAAUAUUAAAUAUUCCUUAAGACAUAAAAGUUAUUUCUCAUAUAUAUAUAUUUCUAUAUUUAAACUUACAAUUUUUAAAGCAGUUAACAGGUAGGGAAGGGAUGGGAGAGCUUCUUUGACUGAUGUUAAAGAAUAAUUUUUUUGGUCUGGAAGGGACGCGAUUUUUCUUGGUGCUCUGAUGGAUGAUGCAGAACACUCCACCGCAGUGGAGCCCUGAAAGAUGGUCCUGAGGAAAAUAAAAGCUGCUUGAAUCGCCUCUCUGGGCCACCUCCCCCUUGGCACUGUAGCCCAAAGACUGAUCCAGGCUUUCCCAAAUUUCCCAUCCCCGUCAUGGCCUCCAUGGAAGCACCAGAACCUUCCCUGUCCUUUCAAAUCUGCUUUUUUCUGCCAGAGAAACUGAGGCAGGGACACGUGGCAAUGCCCUGGGAGAAGCCAUCCUGCUCCCCAAACCCAUCCGUGCCCCGGAGGUGCCUGUUACCUGCGAGAGGAUCUUUAUUUGAUAUUUAAUUGGUGGUUUUUCACAUGCAUAUUUAUACACCUGGGAGCCAGGGAAGAGCUCCCCUUGGAAAACCAGUCCAGCGGGGACUCCCCUCCCUGAGGAAACACCUCCUGCUUCCCACCUGCACCGUGGGCCGAGGUUUCUGCUGGAAAAAACCCAGUGUGUGGGGCCUGGAGCAUCCUGAAAUGAGGAAUUCCUGCUCGCUGGUGCCGCAGAAUGCAGGAUAGGGUGGGCACGCCGUGGCUGGAAGGACACACGGGCAGGGCUGGGGGUCACAGUGUGUUUAUUGGGGGGUGUUUGGUGGGCACGGACGCUCCGGGCACGCUGGGUCCUGCCUGGCAGCGGGGCCGUGGGCACAGGGAGCUGCUGGACAUGCACGGAGAGGGGUGGGAGCUUCUGGCCUGGAGCAUUGUGCUGUCCUCGGGGCAUCACAUCAGCAUCCACCUCGGAGCAUCCAUUGUCCUCGGAGCUUCCAUCAUCAUCCUCAGCAUCCCAUCUGCAUCCACCUCAGAGCAUCCUGGAGCAUCCUGGAGCAUCCUGGAGCAUCCCAUCAUCCUUGGGGCAUCCCACCCCACCCACCUUGGCCAUCCCAUCCACUUUGGAGCAUCCCAAAGUCCCUCAGGGUCCUGGGAACCCCCCAUCCCUCCUGCCACAUCCCUGCCUGCUGUCCCCCCUCCUUUCCUGCCACCAGCUCCCAGCCCAU
ensembl:lncRNA